rnacentral:rRNA from 1 species
ACGCCGCGUGUGGGAGGAAGCCCUUCGGGGUGUAAACCGACGUGUCGGGAGGGACGAACGACGGACGGGCAAAUAGCCCGGACGAACUGACGGUACCGUCCAAAGGAAGCACCGGCUAACCCUGUGCCAGCAGCCGCGGUAAUACAGGGGGUGCAAGCGUUGUUCGGAAUUACUGGGCGUAAAGCGCGGGCAGGUGGCCUUCUAAGUCCUUUGUGAAAUCCCGGAGCUCAACUCCGGAUGUGCAUAGGAUACUGGAAGGCUAGAGACUGGUAAGAGGCGAGUCGGAAUUCCUGGUGUAGCGGUGGAAUGCGUAGAUAUCAGGAAGAACACCGGUGGCGAAGGCGGCUCGCUGGGCCAGUUCUGACACUCAUCCGCGAAAGCGUGGGGAGCAAACAGGAUUAGAUACCCUGGUAGUCCACGCCGUAAACGAUGGGCACUAGAUGCCGGGCCUAUAGACGGGUUCGGUGUCGCAGCUAACGCAUUAAAGUGCCCCGCCUGGGGAGUACGGCCGCAAGGCUG